AAGAGGACUAAAUAAAAAUGUCCUGGACACCCUGGAAGAGAUGGACUGGAGCUGAAUUACAAGAUCCGAGCUACAGACACAUAACUGGAAGUCCUUAUGAACAUAUAUACUUGGAAAGCUUAUUGAUAUGGAUAAUAUUCCUGGAAAGGGGAGAAAACAAUAAGAGAAAGGAAAACUGGCAUCUUUACAUCUCAUAUCUUUAAGAGAAAACAGCAAAGGGAAAUUACAGCCAGAAUCUUGUUGUGAAAGAGCAUCAUUUUCUAAAUCAAAGAAAAAAAAUAGUCCUGGAAACAAGAUGGAAGAUUCUCUCAUCCAGAAUGAGUGCUGCUGAAGUGAGAGGGACAAUUCUGAAGUCUACAAACAGUGAGGCUCCACUUUUUCAGAGGCAGUUCUGAUGCUGUGCUCUACAAAGAAAGGUGAUUGAAUCUCUUCAUAAGGACUCAUAAAUUUCAAGUGUAAUCAUUCCAUCAACGCUAAACUCGCUACCAUCUGAAUGAAUGACAAGAACAGUGAAAAGUCUUCAAACCAAAGAUGAUCCCUUAAAUUAGGAAAAGUUUUGAAUAUUAUUUUCUAGUUAAUCAUGGUUCCAGACAUAUUCUCUAUAGAGUAUUAAUUCUAAGCAAUGGAAGGAAUACUGAUACAAAUAGUGAUAGAUUAUAGAUAGGUAGAUAGAUAGAUAGAUGGAUAGACAGAUGACAGAUAGACAGAUAUCAUAUAUUGAGCCCACAUUAACUGCCAGAAACUCUGUUAAAUGAUGUUUAUUUCACUUAAUCCUGAAAGUAAUCUAUAAGUAGAAUUUUUAUUUACAUUUUACAGAUAAAUAAAAUGAGGCUUAGAGAAGAAAAAUAGUGGUAGAUAUUGGGCCAACGACAGGUUUGAUUCCAAACCCAAUACUCAUGAACACUACACAACACUGUUUACUGUUUAUUGAGCUGAUACUGAUGAUAUUCAAUCCUAAUAAAUACUAUCAUUCCCAUUUUAUAAAUGUGAACAUUUGGCCUUGAGGAGAUUAAAAAAUUGACAUAAUAAGUUGCAGAACCAGGAUUCAAACACACAGUGGUCUGACCCCAGUGUCAGUGUCUUUUUCACUGUUCUGUGCUCCUGAGUAUCAGCAAGACCCUCCAAAAUUUUAUGAGUUAAUCUGAUAAAAUCAGUUCAUAGGAGAUGCAAUAAAACCAAAAGAAAAAACCACCCUAGGAAGCAGAGUGGCUUCCAGUUUACAAACUGGCUACUAUGCAAAAUGUUGGUAGUAUUAAUACGUCAAGCUCAACUACGUAGCUCCCAUGGCAGCCAAGUCCCAGUGAUGACAGCAGAUGUAUUAGAUUAUUAUAAGUUGGCACUUCUGCUAUUUCAAUCAUGCAACAAGUUCAUCUUGUUUUGACUCAUUGCUCACCAAGCAACAUUCUGAUUUUAAUUUGGUUUCCUUUGUGGCUUUCUACAGCAACACUAACUAGUUCCCCUGGUAUCUAUGACAAUUGUAUUUCUCAUGUUAAUUUAAUGACUAGGCUACUUAGUGAACAGAUCAUUUCCGUUUUGAAUUUGGUAAUAUUAGUCUCCUAGAGUCACUUAGUAACUAACCAACUUCUGGUGAUGCACUGGAGUGAUCAGACCCUGAACUACAAGGAUUUACUAAGGUAAUGCUAUUAGGUGAAUUACUCAGGGCCACACCCCAGUUACUGAUUGUGAACCCAUUAUCCCACUGUGAUCCCAAAACUACAGCAAAGAAAAAAUCAAUUUAGUGAUCCGUUAUUGGUCACUGUGUAUAUACAUACAUGAAUAAAUGUUUUUUCCAAUUUCUUUACUACAGUUUGUUUCAGUGUUCCAAUGCCAAUAAAUAAAUAUUAUGUUUGGAUUCCCAAAGAUAAGUUUCCUUUCAAUAUUUACAUAUUAAUAUUUAUAACUAGCACAUGUGUGGCUUAAUAUAAUUCAUAAGCUAUUUUUCUCCUUUAUGUUAGCCUAUUGAGUUAGGUAUAUUUUUAUAUUGUGGUACAUGUUUUAUACUUACUGUUUUAACUAUGGCAUAUAUUAUUUUCUCCCAUUUCAUUCUGAAAAUUGUGGGAAAAUGAGGAUUCUGUUUGGCUUCAUUAGCCUUUUUGGAAAUAUAGCACAACUAUAUAUGGUGUUAAAGAAUUAGAUUACAUUUCAGCACAAGAAAAUUUAUUUCAUCAGGCCUGAGUUCCUAAGGAAUGCAAAAA
rnacentral:lncRNA from 10 species